UGCUGGGGCCGGGGCGCGGGCGCGGGCGCACGACGGCCGCGUGAGUGAGGCGUGGCAAGGGGGAACCCAGCGGCAGGGAUUCUGCUGCGUUUGACCGCGCGCGGGGCCGUCCGUCCCACGCGCGCCGCACCGCGCCGCGCGCUUUUCCCUGUGGACUGCGGACGGGCGGGCGAGGGGAAGGGAAAAUAUGCGUGGCGUUGGUUUUACCCGGGCGAGGAGGAGGAAUCAGGGCAGGGGAUAAGGAGGAGGAGCUUUGAAUUGCGGGGAAGUUUUAUUCUAGUUGCGAAAAGAAAAAAAAACUGCGACUUAUUUCCAGGAUAACGCAUCUGCUUUGCAGUUGGACGCUUGAAGUCCACGCGAAAGUCUGGCAUCGCCAAUUCGCCAUGGAUCUGUUACCCUGCCCUGCCCAUGAGUUUGCCUGGUCAUCAAGGGCCUCUACUUUUCGAAACCUGAAUAUUCAUGCCUACGGUGCAGCCAAGCUUCAGUCAUCAAGACGUGUCAACCAGAUCGCCUGCCACCUGAUGUCAUCUGCGCCGUGAUGAGAAACCCUACAGCCUGCCUUGCUUGCUCUCUCUAUUCGAUGAGAUUAUCUUCUGUGUUGUUGCUGCCCAUUGCCAAUCGAGUGCAGCUUGAUCACUAGAAACACAGCAUCUGCAUGCCGGCCCUCCAUCUCUAUGGCUCACGAGUUGCCCGUGCACUGCAAUUCUGCAAAUCUUUAUCACCUAGUACCUGUGCCUUCGACCUG